UUUCGUUUUUCAAUUUUUUUUUUUUUUAUAUAUAUCAAGACAUACAGCAACCGAGAUGACAAACAUGUAAAAACAUUUUUGUUACAGAUAAUUAUUAAAAAAGUAUUUUUUUUUUUUUUUUUUACUUUUUUACUUUACUUGCUACGUGAAGGAAGGAACUAAUUUACAACUGAGCUCAAACCCUGUCUGCAUCAUUCAAUCAUUCUUCAUAACGAACAUUUCCCACCUCUAGGUAAAUAAAAUGCUCUGUUCAAAAAGACAUGCAUGCCAACUACAUGGAAAACAUUUGUCACAUUACACACACUUGCAUACCUAAACAUAUGUAAAGCAAAGAAUAAUAAUAAUAAUAAUAAUAAUAAACAACAACAAUACACCAAAAGUAAUGUGAAUGGUUAUCAAUAUCAACAGUUUGUCCGCAUUUUUGGGGGGCAGAAAAUAUCCCAGUUAAUUCUCAGAACUCUAAAAACAAGGUUUGGAAAAAUAACCUUCUAAAUGCCAUAAGAUGUCAACAAAUGCAUUCUAUGGACUAUCAACAGGUCGAGACGAGGAGGAGGAGGACAGGUGGAAAAUGAGCUUUUCUUCUGCAAAUCAAUUCCUUUAAUAAAACAUAAAAAAAAAAACUGAAAGUAAAAAAAAAAACUAAAAAAACAUCCACUCGCCUCUUUCUUUUAGUCAAAUCUUACGUUCUGUUCGUUCAUCUUCCGCAGCAGAGCAAGUACAAAAAAAAAAAAGUCCUUUAUUUAACGCUUCAUUAGACCACCAAUUCUGAAAUAAGUGUCAAAUUACCUGUCGAAAUAGGGCUGUGAAAAACCAUUGUACUUUUCACCCUGGCUCAGUCAGUCAGUCAGUCAGUCAGUCAGUCAGUCAGUCAGUCAGUCAGUGUCCACGCAUCCUCCAAUGAAAAGGAAACAGACUACUUUAUUCUCUAGUCUCCUAAACCUACAUCAAAAACACUUCCUGUGACGUGGGUACGAAUGAACACAGUGAUGUCACAAAGCAAGACGAAAGCCAGGACAAAUACAGAGUCUUAAAAUCGGUUGACGAUGACGAUGAUUCCCCUUCAAAAUGGAGAAACACUUUGUCCUCCCCAAGUGCUGUCUGUUUUCCCAUCGCUGUGUUUUUCUCCCCCCCCCCGGCCCCCGUGACAACGUUAUGAUGCUGUGUUCUUCUGUUCCAACCAUCCGGAUCCUUCUAAAUGUGACCAAUCGACCGACGAGCAAAAUGACAUAGGACAUACACAGCUAUUUGUGCUGUGUAUUGCUCGUGUUGAUAAACCCGGGAGUGGGGGAAAGCAUGGGAUAGAGACUAAAGAACUAGCUAGCAACUACAGUUAAAGCGGACUCAACAGUUUUUUUUUUCUCGUAUUUUUUUUGAUUUCACCGAAAAUCAUAAAAGAAAAAAAAAGCAAGAGAAAUGUAAUUAUGUGCUUUCAACCGUUUUAACAGAAGAUCAGUAAUAAACCAAUAAAGAAGUUGAAACACGGUGUCCUUGGCACCACAACCUCCAGUGAUGAGGGCAGGGUUCUGGGAUUAUUUUCAAAUGGGUUUUUCCCUUGCGGCCGUUUUGUGAAUGAUGGGUAGUUUGGGUCCAGGUUUGGGGGACUGAGGUUGAGGCUGGGGUGUUGUAUUCAGUAGGAAGGUGUUGUAUUCAGUUCAGUCAUAGUCAUCAUGGAAAACAAGAGGAGAAGAAGGAAACCCCUUUUACUGGUCUGAUCUGGCCUUCUUUGGACCAGUAGCUUUCCUAAAGGACAGAAACAAAAUGAUUCAACAGAUGAACAUAGACAGGGGGGGGCUGCAGGGUUAAGAGUCAUGAGUCGGGGUUAAGAGUCGGACUGAGAGUCGAGAGGAGAAUAAAGUUGAGAGUUUAAGGCUCACCCAUGUUGAAUGUUAUAUUGUUUGGUUUUUGUGUGCAUCUGAGUUGAUGUUGUAUCGAUUCCCGAGGUCAUUUCAUGUUUAUCUAAGAUCUUGAUCAGAAACUCGGGUAGAAAUACAGCCGGUAUGACGCAAAACGCAUCGUACCGGCUAGAUUACCCCCCCCCUGGAUAUCUGAAAAGUUAAUUGCUGACAUGCAAAGCGUUUUGGGACUGCAUCCACAGCGGACUAAUUAAACAAAUACCAAAAUAUCGUUUUUGAGUGGAGCGUAAAGUUAAGAAUUAUGACAGAGGGGUGACUGGGCUUGAUCACAACUGACUACUUUGUUCAAAUACUUUCGCAUUUCUCAAAUAAAUUCAUAGCAUUUUUUUUUUUUGAAUGUAUAGUUAAAUAACCUAUUAUUUCAUGUGGAUGAAGAGAGACAGGGAGAGAGAGAGAGACAGGGAGAGAGAGAGAGAGAGACAGGGAGAGAGAGAGAGACAGGGAGAGAGAGAGAGACAGGGAGAGAGAGAGAGACAGGGAGAGAGAGAGACAGGGAGAGAGAGAGAGAGAGAGA
rnacentral:lncRNA from 1 species